rnacentral:ncRNA from 1 species
AACGGAGGAGUUCGAAGGUACGCUAAUUACGGUCGGACAUCGUGAUGAUAGUGCAAUGGCAUAAGCGUGCUUAACUGCGAGACUGACAAGUCGAGCAGGUACGAAAGUAGGACAUAGUGAUCCGGUUGUUUCUGUAUGGAAGGGCCAUCGCUCAACGGAUAAAAGGUACUCUGGGGAUAACAGGCUGAUUCCUCCCAAGAGUUCAUAUCGACGGGGGAGUUUGGCACCUCGAUGUCGGCUCUUCACAUCCUGGGGCUGUAGCCGGUCCCAAGGGUAUGGCUGUU